CACAAUUGACAAGCUUGAUAAAGACAUAGUCAUUAGGUAAUAGUCACAAUUCUAAACAUAAAUGUGUAUAAAAGCAUUAAAAGUACUUGUGGAAUCAAAUUUCUUUGUACCGAUGACCAACUAAUAGACAAAUGAGCAAUAACACAACCUAUGGUAUGCUGUACCGAUCAGUACGUGCAUACCAUACCGUACUGAUACCAAACUAGUAUGUAGUACAAGGGUUGUACCAAGUGUCCAUAUGCCAAACCGACUCUUGUAUUGGGCCUACUGACACUGCACUAAGAUGUUACGGUAUAGGGUCCGGUACCGAGAUGGUGAACCUUUCUACAAUCAUAGCUGCAAAAUUGUAAAUUGUAAUCACUAAUCAUUGUUCUGCAGGUAAAAAAUCUGUAUAUAGGGUGAUCCACUACUUCAGCAUUUGGUUGUUCAUUCUUAACAUGUUUUAUCUAGGUGUUGAUGUAAUUUUGCAGUGGAAACUUUUCAAUAUGGGUUAUAUUAUUGCUAUACAUGCUUCAAAAUGUUUUAGAAAAAU
rnacentral:lncRNA from 1 species